GCUGCUAUGGUGUAACGGCUAUCACUCGGGAUUUUGAUCUAUUCUGUGGUCCUCAUCGACCCUCAUCAUCAUCUUCCCGCAAUCCAGGUUCGAUCCCUGGUAGCAGCU